AUCGAGUGGAUGCUAUGAACCCAACUACGACCCUAAUGACAGUCCCCCAAACACUGAGAGUUGUGAUGAGAGCAUUGCAUAUAGUGAUGAAGAAUCUGUAUCUAGGAGGAAGAAGUUAUUAGAAGAUGCUUUAUUUGUUUUUUUAGGAAGGAGGCAAUCAAAUCACUCGAGAUUUUCCAAAAUUCUGGAAGAAUGUCGACCUUAAAACUGAGCAAAAUUAGAGGCAAAAGGUUAUGGGGGCAGGGAGGCAUGUGUGAACCGUCUUUUCCACAAAAUACUUUGUAGAUAUCUUGAGGGGUAUGUCCAGUGGCCGGAAGAUGU